AUGCUUUGGCAGAACGUAUACUAAAGUUAGAACAAUGCAGGGAAGAUUAAUUACUAACAUGGCCCCUGUGCAAGGAUGAUAUGCAAAUCUGAUGCACUGCAGAUUAAA
ensembl:snRNA U6 U6 spliceosomal RNA